CGGUCGGCAGUUCACCCAGGCGUCACCGGUGCCCAUUCGGGCAGCUAAACCUGCCA
rfam:Pseudomonas sp. FeS53a scaffold11.1, whole genome shotgun sequence.